rnacentral:rRNA from 1 species
GACGAACGCUGGCGGCGUGCCUAAUACAUGCAAGUCGAGCGGAACUGGGGGAGCUUGCUCCUUCCAGUUUAGCGGCGGACGGGUGAGUAACACGUGGGCAACCUGCCCUGCAGAUCGGGAUAACUCCGGGAAACCGGUGCUAAUACCGAAUAGUUUGGCGCCUCGCCUGAGGCGCUACGGAAAGACGGUUUCGGCUGUCACUGCAGGAUGGGCCCGCGGCGCAUUAGCUAGUUGGUGGGGUAACGGCCCACCAAGGCGACGAUGCGUAUGCGACCUGAGAGGGUGCCCGGCCACACUGGGACUGAGACGCGGGCAAGACGCCUCGGGGAGGCAGCAGUAGGGAAUCUUCCGCAAGGGACGCAAGUCUGACGGAGCAACGCCGCGUGAGUGACGAAGGUUUUCGGAUCGUAAAACUCUGUUGGGAGGGAAGAACACGUACCAACUAACUAUUGGUACCUUGACGGUACCUCACCAGAAAGCCACGGCUAACUACGUGCCAGCAGCCGCCGUAA